rnacentral:rRNA from 1 species
CUGCUGCCUCCCGUAGGAGUUUGGGCCGUGUCUCAGUCCCAAUGUGGCCGUCCACCCUCUCAGGCCGGCUACUGAUCGCUGCCUUGGUGGGCCGUUAUCCCGCCAACUAGCUAAUCAGACGCGGAUCCAUCGUAUACCACCGGAAUUUUUCACACUGCCCCAUGCGGAGCCGUGCGCUUAUGCGGUAUUAGCACCUAUUUCUAAGUGUUAUCCCCCAGUGUAAGGCAGGUUACCCACGCGUUACUCACCCGUCCG